AACGAACGCUGGCGGCAUGCCUAACACAUGCAAGUCGAACGAGACCUUCGGGCCUAGUGGCGCACGGGUGCGUAACGCGUGGGAACCUGCCCUUAGGUUCGGAAUAACUCCCCGAAAGGGGUGCUAAUACCGGAUAAUGUCUUCGGACCAAAGAUUUAUCGCCUUUGGAUGGGCCCGCGUUGGAUUAGCUAGUUGGUAGGGUAAAAGCCUACCAAGGCGACGAUGCAUAGCUGGUCUGAGAGGAUGAUCAGCCACACUGGGACUGAGACACGGCCCAGACUCCUACGGGAGGCAGCAGUGGGGAAUAUUGGACAAUGGGCGAAAGCCUGAUCCAGCAAUGCCGCGUGAGUGAUGAAGGCCUUAGGGUUGUAAAGCUCUUUUACCCGGGAUGAUAAUGACAGUACCGGGAGAAUAAGCUCCGGCUAACUCCGUG
rnacentral:rRNA from 1 species